AAAGUCGUAACAAGGUUUCCGUAGGUGAACCUGCGGAAGGAUCAUUAUUGAAUUAACUUGUUGGGUUGUAGCUGGCUCCUAGGAGCAUGUGCACACCCUUCAUCGUUUUUCCACCUGUGCACCUUUUGUAGUCCUGGAUACCUCUCGAGGCAACUCGGAUUGAGGGCUUGCAGUGCGAAAGCCGGCUUGCCCUUACAUUUCCAGGACUAUGUUUUCAUACACCCCAAUAGAAUGUUAUAGAAUGUCAUUUAUGGGCUUCACAGCCUUUAAACUUAUACAACUUUCAACAACGGAUCUCUUGGCUCUC
rnacentral:misc_RNA from 1 species